rnacentral:lncRNA from 1 species
AAAUUCCAAACUUGAGAAAUCUCCACCGGGUGAAAGCGUGAUUUUUGAAAUCUGAACACAGCGGAGUGGAGGACAAUCGGAGGCGCGUCCCAGGAAGCAUGUGGAAGCAACGUCCGAAAGUGUAAACAGCCAGGACUUUAAAGCCAGGAAGAACACAUUAAAAAGCAAAUCUCUAGAGACUACACACACCUGGCAUUCUGGGAAAAGUCGGGGCGGCUUUGCCAAAGAGUCUUGGAAAUGCGGAGUUUGUGGGCCCCCCAAGUUCGUGGCGGUGCUCUGGUCCCAGAAGUUUGGAGGACGGGAAAGACUGUCCACAGCUCAGAUGCUGUUUGCAGAACUGCAGUGUACCAGACAAAUGGAAUACUUCUUUGUGGCUGCCGCGCCCAAAUCCUGAGUCCUGGAUGAAAUUUAGCUGAGGGUCAUCCCAGCCACACAGAGCCAGCCCUACAACAAAUGGUUUAUUCCAAAAUUCUGCAAGGAAUUGAAGGCAGUGAGUACUAGCUAGCCACUUAAACAUCAGUUUGUUUGUUUGUUUG